rnacentral:rRNA from 1 species
GAUGAACGCUGGCGGCGUGCCUAAUACAUGCAAGUCGAGCGAACAGACGAGGAGCUUGCUCCUCUGACGUUAGCGGCGGACGGGUGAGUAACACGUGGAUAACCUACCUAUAAGACUGGGAUAACUUCGGGAAACCGGAGCUAAUACCGGAUAAUAUAUUGAACCGCAUGGUUCAAUAGUGAAAGACGGUUUUGCUGACACUUAUAGAUGGAUCCGCGCCGCAUUAGCUAGUUGGUAAGGUAACGGCUUACCAAGGCGACGAUGCGUAGCCGACCUGAGAGGGUGAUCGGCCACACUGGAACUGAGACACGGUCCAGACUCCUACGGGAGGCAGCAGUAGGGAAUCUUCCGCAAUGGGCGAAAGCCUGACGGAGCAACGCCGCGUGAGUGAUGAAGGUCUUCGGAUCGUAAAACUCUGUUAUUAGGGAAGAACAAAUGUGUAAGUAACUAUGCACGUCUUGACGGUACCUAAUCAGAAAGCCACGGCUAACUACGU